rnacentral:rRNA from 1 species
GUUUCGUAAGUCGUGUGUGAAAGGCAGGGGCUCAACCCCUGGAUUGCACAUGAUACUGCGAGACUAGAGUAAUGGAGGGGGAACCGGAAUUCUCGGUGUAGCAGUGAAAUGCGUAGAUAUCGAGAGGAACACUCGUGGCGAAGGCGGGUUCCUGGACAUUAACUGACGCUGAGGCACGAAGGCCAGGGGAGCGAAAGGGAUUAGAUACCCCUGUAGUCCUGGCAGUAAACGGUGCACGCUUGGUGUGCGGGGAAUCGACCCCCUGCGUGCCGGAGCUAACGCGUUAAGCGUGCCGCCUGGGGAGUACGGUCGCAAGAUUAAAACUCAAAGAAAUUGACGGGGACCCGCACAAGCGGUGGAGUAUGUGGCUUAAUUCGAUGCAACGCGAAGAACCUUACCUGGGCUUGACAUGUAAUGAACAACAUGUGAAAGCAUGCGACUCUUCGGAGGCGUUACACAGGUGCUGCAUGGCCGUCGUCAGCUCGUGUCGUGAGAUGUUUGGUUAAGUCCAGCAACGAGCGCAACCCCUGUUGCCAGUUACCAGCACGUCAAGGUGGGGACUCUGGCGAGACUGCCCAGAUCAACUGGGAGGAAGGUGGGGACGACGUCAGGUCAGUAUGGCCCUUAUGCCCAGGGCUGCACACGUACUACAAUGCCCAGUACAGAGGGGGCCGAAGCCGCGAGGCGGAGGAAAUCCUGAAAACUGGGCCCAGUUCGGACUGUAGGCUGCAACCCGCCUACACGAAGCCGGAAUCGCUAGUAAUGGCGCAUCAGCUACGGCGCCGUGAAUACGUUCCCGGGUCUUGUACACACCGCCCGUCACAUCAUGGAAGCCGGUCGCACCCGAAGUAUCUGAAGCCAACCGCAAGGAGGCAGGGUCCUAAGGUGAGACUGGUAACUGGGAUGAAGUCGUAACAAGGUAGCCGUAGGGGAACCUGCGGCUGGAUCACCUCCUUUCUAUGGA